CCUACGGGAGGCUGCAGUGAGGAAUAUUGGUCAAUGGGCGGGAGCCUGAACCAGCCAAGCCGCGUGAGGGAAGAAGGUCCAGCGUAUCGUAAACCUCUUUUGUCAGGGAACAAAGGCGGGGACUAGUGCCUGGUUGAGGGUACUUGAUGAAUAAGCAUCGGCUAACUCCGUGCCAGCAGCCGCGGUAAUACGGAGGAUGCGAGCGUUAUCCGGAUUUAUUGGGUUUAAAGGGUGCGCAGGGGGCUUGUUAAGUCAGCGGUAAAAGCCUGGGGCUCAACCUCGAGGAGCCAUUGAAACUGGCAGGCUGGAGUUGAGGUGAAGUACGCGGAAGUCGCGGUGUAGCGGUGAAAUGCUUAGAUAUCGCGCAGAACCCCGAUUGCGAAGGCAGCGUACCAGCUCCACACUGACGUUGAGGCUCGAAAGCGUGGGUAUCGAACAGGAUUAGAUACCCCUGUAGUC
rnacentral:rRNA from 1 species